AGGAGCUUGACUCCCAGUCACUGCACAGAAGGAAGCAUUAACCUAGCAGAAAAACUGCCUCAGACUCCCUUAUGGAGCAAAGAGGGGAAAAGACAGCGAAUGUCUCUUCUAUGGAACCAUUACAUGUGUUUGUGUCACUCAACUAUUGUCUUAGAUUAAGCUCCUGCCCCAGACUCAACAGACCAGACUAAGAAGCAGAGUAGAGUCACCGGACUAAAGUUUCACAUCACCAAGCUGAAGUGAGGCUGCUUCAUUGAUGGAAUCAGGAUAAGUAAGGCACCAGCCAAGUUUCUCAUACAGAUGUGAUGCAUUGCUUCAAGUUGCUGCCUUGACUUCCUAAUGAUCCUGAAAUUAUGAACUAAAAUGAACCCUUCCUCCCUUAUGUUGCUUCAUGUCGGAGUAUUUUAUAACAGCAACCGCAAUGAAAUUAAAACAGAAAUUCGUACCA